GACGAGGGGUCCAAGCGUUGUUCGGAAUUAUUGGGCGUAAAGCGGGUGUAGGUGGCUCUAUAAGUCAGAAGUGAAAGCCCCGAGCUUAACUCGGGAAGUGCUUUUGAUACUGCAGAGCUUGAAUGUGGGAGAGGGUAGUGGAAUUCACGGUGUAGCAGUGAAAUGCGUAGAGAUCGUGAGGAAGACCAGUGGCGAAGGCGGAUCUCUGGACAGUUCCUGACGCUGAGGCGCGAAGGCCAGGGGAGCAAACGGG
rnacentral:rRNA from 1 species